GUUUGUAGCUCAGUGGUAGAGCACUUGACUAGCAUGUGUGAGGCACUGAUGAAUAAGAGUUCAUCACCAUUGUCAAGACGGAAAAAAAAAGAGUUCAUCAAAACUGGAAAAAAAAAUUAAAAAUAAAAUAAAAUAAUAAAGCAAAACAUGGGCUGGGAUUGUGGUCAGCGGUAGAGCGCUUGCCUAGCAUGUGCAAGGCCCUGGGUUUGAUCCUCAGCAUCACA
rnacentral:tRNA from 1 species